GAUGAACGCUGGCGGCGUGCCUAAUACAUGCAAGUCGAGCGAACAGACGAGGAGCUUGCUCCUCUGACGUUAGCGGCGGACGGGUGAGUAACACGUGGAUAACCUACCUAUAAGACUGGGAUAACUUCGGGAAACCGGAGCUAAUACCGGAUAAUAUAUUGAACCGCAUGGUUCAAUAGUGAAAGACGGUUUUGCUGUCACUUAUAGAUGGAUCCGCGCCGCAUUAGCUAGUUGGUAAGGUAACGGCUUACCAAGGCAACGAUGCGUAGCCGACCUGAGAGGGUAAUCGGCCACACUGGAACUGAGACACGGUCCAGACUCCUACGGGAGGCAGCAGUAGGGAAUCUUCCGCAAUGGGCGAAAGCCUGACGGAGCAACGCCGCGUGAGUGAUGAAGGUCUUCGGAUCGUAAAACUCUGUUAUUAGGGAAGAACAAAUGUGUAAGUAACUAUGCACGUCUUGACGGUACCUAAUCAGAAAGCCACGGCUAACUACGUG
rnacentral:rRNA from 1 species